AUUGAACGCUGGCGGCAUGCUUUACACAUGCAAGUCGAACGGCAGCGCGGGCUUCGGCCUGGCGGCGAGUGGCGAACGGGUGAGUAAUGCAUCGGAACGUGCCCAGUAGUGGGGGAUAGCCCGGCGAAAGCCGGAUUAAUACCGCAUACGACCUGAGGGUGAAAGCGGGGGACCGAAAGGCCUCGCGCUAUUGGAGCGGCCGAUGUCGGAUUAGCUAGUUGGUGGGGUAAAGGCUUACCAAGGCGACGAUCCGUAGCUGGUCUGAGAGGACGACCAGCCACACUGGGACUGAGACCCGGCCCAGACUCCUACCGGGGGCAGCAGUGGGGAAUUUUGGACAAUGGGGGCAACCCUGAUCCAGCCAUGCCGCGUGCGGGAAGAAGGCCUUCGGGUUGUAAACCGCUUUUGUUCGGGAAGAAAUCCUCUGGGCUAAUACCCCGGGGGGAUGACGGUACCGGAAGAAUAAGCACCGGCUAACUACGUG
rnacentral:rRNA from 1 species